rnacentral:sRNA from 1 species
UACCUUCUUAACAUCCUACGUGCGUACUUCACACUGCUCCCAUAAUUAUACCUAUAACCAUCUCUUACAAUACAUCUGUGAGGAAUUGAGAUGCUCUGUUUUGUAUAACUUCAACAGCUUGUUGUUAGAAUUCAUCUACUUCUGCUGCUAGUUUUCAUUGUUCUUCAAAUGAGAAUUCUUGAGCUCAGAACUGAUUGACAUGUACACAGAGUUCAUCUAAUUGUGUAGAACUUUUUAUAAUUGCAAAGUCAAUUAACUGAUACUCUCAGUGUUUUCAUCUUGUGACGGGUUAGCAUCUGUUAGUAAUUAACUUAUGCAAUCAACUCCCCUUCUGCACCCACUUGUUUCUGACUGUUGUGACCUCACAUAACUCUUGAUGUUCUUUCACUCUGUGCUCUGCACUUAUGUAGUUUCUAAUGAUUCUUCUGUGUAGCUUCUAAUAUUCUCUCAUUUUGUAUUUUAUACUUGUGUAGUCUCUAAUGAUUCUUCUGUGUAGUCUUCAAUGAUUUUUCUGCUUCACACUCUGUACUUGUGUAGUUUCUAACAAUUCUUCUGUGUAGCUCUCAAUGAUUCUUUCAUUCCACACUCUGCACUUAUAUAGUUUCUAAUGAUUCUUCUGUGUAGCUCUUAAUGUUCUUCCACUUCACACUUCACUGUAAAGUGACUUCUGAUAUUCUUUCAUCUCAAAUUUCUCUCUAUAAGAAUCUUUUUUGUAUGAUCUUUUCUUCUGAUUUCUUUUCUCUUUCUUUUCUUAAUCAAUUUAUAAUCUGUAUUAGAAUAGUGCU